rnacentral:lncRNA from 1 species
UUUUUUUUUUUUUUUUUUUGAGACGGAGUCUCGCUCUGCCCAGGCUGGAGUGCAGUGGCCGGAUCUCAGCUCACUGCAAGCUCCGCCUUCCGGGUUGACGCCAUUCUCCUGCCUCAGCCUCCCAAGUAGCUGGGACUACAGUUGCUCGCCACCUCGCCCGGCUAGUUUUUUGUAUUUUUAUGGAGACGGGGUUUCACCAUGUUAGCCCAUGUUGGGAUGUUCUCCAUCUCCUGACCUCGUGAUCUGCCCGUCUCAGCCUCCCAAAGUGCUGGGAUUACAGGCUUGAGCCACCGCGCCUGGCUGAUCUGAUGGUUUUAUAAAGAAGAGUUCCCCUGCACAAGCUCUCUCUUGCCUGCCGCCAUGUAAGAUGUGACUUUGCUCCUCCUUUGCCUUCCACCAUUAUUGUGAGGUCUUCCCAGCCAUGCAGAACUGUGAGUCCAUUAAACCUCUUCCCUGUAUAAAUUACCCAGUCUUGGGUAUGUCUUUAUUAGCAGCAUGAGAACAGACAAAUACAGUGUACAACUCAGUAGUUUUUAGAAUAUUUGAAGGAUUAUACAAUCAUCAUCACAAUCAAUUUUAGGACACUUCCAUCACCCCAACAAAAAAAUACCAUGUCCAAUAGCACUCACUGCCCAUUCACCGCUCCCCACCCUGGCAACUGCUGAUCUAGCUUCUGUCUCUAUGGAUUUCCUGUUCUGGACAUUGGAGACAAAUGGAAGCAUACACUCUGUGGGCUUUUGUGUCUGGCUGCUUUGACUCAGCAUGAUGUUUUCAGGGUUCAUCCACGAGGUAGGGCUCAUCAGUCCUUCACUCCUUUUUAUGGCUGAAUAAUAUUCCAUUGUGUGCAGAUACCACAUUUUACUCAUCCAUUCAUCAGCUGAUGCACAUUUAGGUUGUUUCCGCUUCUUGGCUCACGACAUAAAAUUGUAAACUAGAUUGCCACAUCUACACCCAUACGGGCAGAUCACUUCCUUAUAAUUAAUGUAUUCAUAGAGAAAACAGUCAGGAACCAAGUCCUGAGUAGAAGGGUUCAUGCCACAGUGGGCAGGUGUGUGCUGUGCUCCAGGGUCUGCGCUGUACAUUUUUAUUUCAGAAAGUUUCUGGCAGAAGUAGAGAGCAUGGGAAAAUGACCUCCCCACUCAGGAACCCCCCAGGUUCCCUGCCCGGCACAGCUGCUCUUCUCGGCAGCUCUCGCAGUGGCCCGUCUGGGAGUGGGGCUUCUGGCCUGAGAGUCCAGUGUCCUGAGGAGCUGUCAGGAAGGGGUGCUGGCACCAAGCAGUCACCCAGAGUUCCUGGCCACACUGCCAGCCUCCCCCUGGGCCUAGCACUGUCAUCUCUGGAUUGAUACCUGGCUUGUGGGGCUGGAGGGGUGGAAAGGCCUUUGCAGGCAGGGACUUGCAGGUGGGGUGGGG